AUAAGUACGGAGAGACGCCUCUGGACAAAGGGAAACCUCACCUGAAAGAGCUCCUGCGCGACCGGGCUGAGAAGAUGGGCCAGAGUAUGAGCCGGAUUCCCUACAAGGACACCUUCUGGAAGGGGACCACCCGGACCCGACCACGUAACGGUACUCUGAACAAGCAGGCGGGCAUUGACUUCAAACAGCUGACACUCAGCCACAAGCUCAACGACAACCAUUCUGGAGAGGUGAGUGCGGCACGCG